rnacentral:rRNA from 1 species
UACGGAGGGUGCAAGCGUUGUCCGGAUUUAUUGGGUUUAAAGGGUGCGUAGGCGGCCCUGUAAGUCCGUGGUGAAAGCCAACAGCUCAACUGUUGAACUGCCAUGGAUACUGCAGGGCUUGAGUACAGACGAGGUAGGCGGAAUGGAUAGUGUAGCGGUGAAAUGCAUAGAUACUAUCCAGAACACCGAUUGCGUAGGCAGCUUACUAGGCUGUAACUGACGCUGAGGAGCGAAAGCAUGGGGAGCGAACAGG